GUCUACAGCCAUAUUACUCUGAACUCAUCCAAUCUCAUCUGAUCUUGGAAGCUGAGCAGAGGUAGGCCUGGUUAGUUCUUGGAUGGGAGGCCUUGUCUAAUGCUUUUCCAUGACUAUGCUAGCACUAAAGAUU
ensembl:rRNA 5S_rRNA 5S ribosomal RNA